rnacentral:rRNA from 1 species
GAUGAACGCUGGCGGCGUGCCUAAUACAUGCCAGUCGAGCGAACAGAUGAGGAGCUUGCUCCUCUGACGUUAGCGGCGGACGGGUGAGUAACACGUGGAUAACCUACCUAUAAGACUGGGAUAACUUCGGGAAACCGGAGCUAAUACCGGAUAAUAUAUUGAACCGCAUGGUUCAAUAGUGAAAGACGGUUUUGCUGUCACUUAUAGAUGGAUCCGCGCCGCAUUAGCUAGUUGGUAAGGUAACGGCUUACCAAGGCAACGAUGCGUAGCCGACCUGGGAGGGGGAUCGGCCACACUGGAACUGGGACACGGUCCAGACUCCUACGGGAGGCAGCAGUAGGGAAUCUUCCGCAAUGGGCGAAAGCCUGACGGAGCAACGCCGCGUGAGUGAUGAAGGUCUUCGGAUCGUAAAACUCUGUUAUGAGGGAAGAACAAAUGUGUAAGUAACUAUGCACGUCUUGACGGUACCUAAUCAGAAAGCCACGGCUAACUACGUG